UUCAAGCCCCACAACUGACAAAAAAAAAAAAAAACAACCCUGUCAUUGUCCAUUUCCUAGUUAUAAUAGUUGUACUACGCUUGCCCAGUGUAUGGCUGUAUAACAUUUUAUGUAAUCAUUCACCCAUUGAAGGACAUGGGGGUUGUUUCUAGUUUUUGGUGAUUACAAACAAAGCUGCUCUGAGUAUUCAUUUUCAGGUUUUUGUGUGAAUGUAUGUUUCUAUUUCUUCUAGGAUAAAUGCCUAGGAGUGUAACUGUUGGGUUGUGUGUGAAAAUGCCUCGUGCAAAAGCAGCUCAGGCUGGAAGACAGGGCCCUGCGAAGAGACGCCUUGCAGAACAGUUUGCAGCUGGGGAGAUAGUGACGGACAUGUCAAAAAAGGAGUGGAAACUGGGACUGCCUGUUGGCCAAGGCGGCUUUGGCUGUAUAUAUCUUGCUGAUGCAAAUUCUUCAAAAUCAGUUGGCAGCGAUGCACCCUGUGUUGUAAAAGUGG